GUGGUGGUAAUAGAUACGAAUUUGCAAUGAAUUUGUUGCAAUUUAUGUGCAAUCGACUGUACAAACAUCAAACAUAAACACGAUGUUACUGCACCUCUCACUUGCGUUAUACGAUUCAUUGCAGUUACAUAAUUUGUGGACGACCAAACCGUCUCCGGCUUUGGAGAUAAAGAGAAUCCAUCAGCGUCAAGACGUCCUUAUGGUCACUAUCAAAGAUCUGGAUUAGGACAAUCGACCACGUCGCAAAUCCGAGGGUCCCGACGGUGCUACCCACCUCAUGAAGUAUGCCUCCGUGCGUGGAAUAUCUAAUCGAAUUAGAGAUGAGGUCAAAACGGAGCAUUGAAUUGAGUUGUGGAGAGCUGGAAAGUGACAUAGACAGCCUUUAAUAGGCACAGCUAAUUACUGUAAACGUAUAAAAAAAUAUGAUAAUAAUAAACAUCAUACCCAAAAUAAUAUAUCCU